rnacentral:rRNA from 1 species
GACGUAGGGCGCGAGCGUUGUCCGGAUUUAUUGGGCGUAAAGAGCUCGUAGGCGGCUUGUUGCGUCGACCGUGAAAACCCGGGGCUCAACUUCGGGCUUGCGGUCGAUACGGGCGGGCUAGAGUUCGGUAGGGGGAGACUGGAAUUCCUGGUGUAGCGGUGAAAUGCGCAGAUAUCAGGAGGAACACCGGUGGCGAAGGCGGGUCUCUGGGCCGAUACUGACGCUGAGGAGCGAAAGCGUGGGGAGCGAACAGG